rnacentral:rRNA from 1 species
GGNACGGCCCCCUGCCCCCGGCGCGACUGUCAACCGGGUCGGACUGUCCCCAGUGCGUAUCCGACGCGUCGCGUCGCCGGGCGGGGAGCGGCCCUCGUACAACUGGCGUCAGGGGUCAGCGGCAAUGUCGGCAACCC